rnacentral:rRNA from 1 species
UACAUGGGGUGCAAACGUUGCUCGGAAUUAUUGGGCGUAAAGCGCGCGCAGGUGGUUUCUUAAGUCUGAUGUGAAAGCCCACGGCUCAACCGUGGAGGGUCAUUGGAAACUGGGAGACUUGAGUGCAGAAGAGGAAAGUGGAAUUCCAUGUGUAGCGGUGAAAUGCGUAGAGAUAUGGAGGAACACCAGUGGCGAAGGCGACUUUCUGGUCUGUAACUGACACUGAGGCGCGAAAGCGUGGGGAGCAAACAGG